GGCCCUGGUGACAACCGGGGUUGCNUGACGGNCCGUAAGAAUAAGCACCGGCUAACUUCGUGCCAGCAGCCGCGGUAAUACGUAGGGUGCGAGCGUUAAUCGNUAAUUACUGGGCGUAAAGCGUGCGCAGGCGGACAUGCAAGACAGAUGUGAAAUCCCCGGGCUCAACCUGGGAACUGCAUAUGUGACUGUAUGACUGGAGUACGGCAGAGGGGGAUGGAAUUCCGCGUGUAGCAGUGAAAUGCGUAGAUAUGCGGAGGAACACCGAUGGCGAAGGCAAUCCCCUGGGCCAGUACUGACGCUCAUGCACGAAAGCGUGGGGAGCAAACAGGAUUAGAUACCCUGGUAGUCC
rnacentral:rRNA from 1 species